rnacentral:rRNA from 1 species
UACGAAGGGUGCAAACGUUGCUCGGAAUUAUUGGGCGUAAAGCGCACGUAGGCGGCUUUGCAAGUCCCAUGUGAAAGCCCACGGCUUAACCGUGGAAGUGCAUGGGAAACUGCAGAGCUUGAGUACUUAAGAGGAUCGCGGAAUUCCCGGUGUAGAGGUGAAAUUCGUAGAUAUCUGGAGGAACACCGGUGGCGAAGGCGACAUCCUGGACCGGUAUUGACGCUGAGGCGCGAAAGCCAGGGGAGCAAACGGG